CCUACGGGUGGCAGCAGUGAGGAAUAUUGGUCAAUGGACGAGAGUCUGAACCAGCCAAGUAGCGUGAAGGAUGACUGCCCUAUUGGUUGUAAACCUCUUUUAUCUGGGAAUAAAAUGUUCCACGUGUGGGAUUUUGUAUGUACCCUAUGAAUAAGCAUCGGCUAACUCCGUGCCAGCAGCCGCGGUAAUACGGAGGAUCCGAGCGUUAUCCGGAUUUAUUGGGUUUAAAGGGAGCGUAGGUGGAGUGUUAAGUCAGUUGUGAAAGUUUGCGGCUCAACCGUAACAUUGCAGUUGAAACUGGGAGUCUUGAGUGCAGUAGAGGUGGGCGGAAUGCGUGGUGUAGCGGUGAAAUGCUUAGAUAUCACGCAGAACUCCGAUUGCGAAGGCAGCUCACUGGAGUGCAACUGACACUGAGGCUCGAAGGUGUGGGUAUCGAACAGGAUUAGAUACCCUUGUAGUC
rnacentral:rRNA from 1 species